rnacentral:rRNA from 1 species
AUUGAACGCUGGCGGAAUGCUUUACACAUGCAAGUCGAACGGUAGAGGGGGCAACCCCUCGAGAGAGGCGAACGGGUGAGUAAUAUAUCGGAACGUGCCCAGUCGUGGGGGAUAACGUAGCGAAAGUUACGCUAAUACCGCAUACGAUCUAAGGAUGAAAGCGGGGGAUCGCAAGACCUCGCGCGAUUGGAGCGGCCGAUAUCAGAUUAGGUAGUUGGGGGGGUAAAGGCUCACCAAGCCAACGAUCUGUAGCUGGUCUGAGAGGACGACCAGCCACACUGGAACUGAGACACGGUCCAGACUCCUACGGGAGGCAGCAGUGGGAAAUUUGGACAAUGGACGCAAGUCUGAUCCAGCCAUUCCGCGUGCAGGAUGAAGGCCCUCGGGUUGUAAACUGCUUUUGUACGGAACGAAAAGGUCUCUCUUAAUACGGGGGGCUCAUGACGGUACCGUAAGAAUAAGCACCGGCUAACUACGUGCCAGCCGCCGCGGUAA